GAGUGCUCGUGUGUCGUGCAGCAUGGCGGGUGGCGGAGGCCCGGGCCUGUGGAACCCGGCCUGUCCUCGGGCUCUCCCAGGUGCGAACCCCGCGGUCUGUCCACCCCGUCGGUGCGGAGCGGGGCACCCAGCUGACGGCGCCGGUCCCUUGCCGGGUACGGUGGGCCACAUAGCCAGGUCUGCGCGGCCGCUCGCGUUCCCGCGCCCUCGGGCUUUAAAAUAAUCUGCAGAUCCUAAACUGCUCGAACUCGGGGGACAACAGCGCUUGGCGGCCCUUAGUUAAAGGCCUGCGCCUCGGGACGCGUCGAAGUGCGGGGAGGAGCGGCCGCUCCUGGCAGCAGCUUUCGCUGGACCUGCACUGUGGCUGGUGUUCCUUAUGUGUCCACAAGAAAAGCCACCGUGCAGCCUGGUUCAGGCUUCUUAAGCACAACAAAACCUGUCUCUCUUGAAGGUGCUUGAACAAAUGCUUUCCAGAAACAUGUCAUGGAAAGUGAUUUAAAUAAGCCACCAGGACGGCAGUUGCCAGUAACAAGGUACAAAUAUUAAGCAUGUAGGCAGCUGCUGGUGAAAGUCCCACCUCAGGAGCUGUGAUGUUUAUGAACACUUCGUUGUUUCAGGCUGUUAAAGAUGAACGCCUGGACUGUUUUUGAGCUUGAGGAAAAGUACCAUGGGUCCUCACUGUCUUUGUCCUUUGGAAGGUGCAGCACACGUGUGGAUGGUGAGAUGGAGAGUUGUCAAGAAUCCGUGAACAGAAGCAAAUGAUGAAUUAGUGUUUUAUUUGAUAGUAAUCAACAAUAAAUUAUGUAGAAAUAAACA